rnacentral:rRNA from 1 species
AAACCCCCUAACACUUAGCACUCAUCGUUUACNGCGUGGACUACCAGGGUAUCUAAUCCUGUUUGAUCCCCACGCUUUCGCACAUCAGCGUCAGUNACAGACCAGAAAGUCGCCUUCGCCACUGGUGUUCCUCCAUAUCUCUGCGCAUUUCACCGCUACACAUGGAAUUCCACUUUCCUCUUCUGCACUCAAGUUUCCCAGUUUCCAAUGACCCUCCACGGUUGAGCCGUGGGCUUUCACAUCAGACUUAAGAAACCGCCUACGCGCGCUUUACGCCCAAUAAUUCCGGAUAACGCUUGCCACCUACGUAUUACCGCGGCUGCUGGCACGUAGUUAGCCGUGGCUUUCUGAUUAGGUACCGUCAAGAUGCGCACAGUUACUUACGCAUUUGUUCUUCCCUAAUAACAGAGUUUUACGAUCCGAAAACCUUCAUCACUCACGCGGCGUUGCUCCGUCAGGCUUUCGCCCAUUGCGGAAGAUUCCCUACUGCUGCCUCCCGUAGGAGUCUGGACCGUGUCUCAGUUCCAGUGUGGCCGAUCACCCUCUCAGGUCGGCUACGUAUCGUCGCCUUGGUAAGCCAUUACCUUACCAACUAGCUAAUACGGCGCGGGUCCAUCUAUAAGUGAUAGCAAAACCAUCUUUCACUAUAGAACCA